GAUGAACGCUGGCGGCGUGCCUAAUACAUGCAAGUCGAGCGAACAGACGAGGAGCUUGCUCCUCUGACGUUAGCGGCGGACGGGUGAGUAACACGUGGAUAACCUACCUAUAAGACUGGGAUAACUUCGGGAAACCGGAGCUAAUACCGGAUAAUAUAUUGAACCGCAUGGUUCAAUAGUGAAAGACGGUCUUGCUGUCACUUAUAGAUGGAUCCGCGCUGCAUUAGCUAGUUGGUAAGGUAACGGCUUACCAAGGCAACGAUGCAUAGCCGACCUGAGAGGGUGAUCGGCCACACUGGAACUGAGACACGGUCCAGACUCCUACGGGAGGCAGCAGUAGGGAAUCUUCCGCAAUGGGCGAAAGCCUGACGGAGCAACGCCGCGUGAGUGAUGAAGGUCUUCGGAUCGUAAAACUCUGUUAUUAGGGAAGAACAAAUGUGUAAGUAACUGUGCACGUCUUGACGGUACCUAAUCAGAAAGCCACGGUUAACUACGUG
rnacentral:rRNA from 1 species